CCUACGGGUGGCAGCAGUAGGGAAUCUUCCACAAUGGGCGAAAGCCUGAUGCAGCAACGCCGCGUGGGUGAAGAAGGUCUUCGGAUCGUAAAACCCUGUCGUUAGAGAAGAAAGUGCGUGAGAGUAACUGUUCACGUAUCGACGGUAUCUAACCAGAAAGCCACGGCUAACUACGUGCCAGCAGCCGCGGUAAUACGUAGGUGGCAAGCGUUAACCGGAGUUAUUGGGCGUAAAGGGAACGCAGGCGGUCUUUUAAGUCUGAUGUGAAAGCCUUCGGCUUAACCGGAGUAGUGCAUUGGAAACUGGGAGACUUGAGUGGAGAAGAGGAGAGUGGAACUCCAUGUGUAGGAGUGAAAUGCGUAGAUAUAUGGAAGAACACCAGUGGCGAAAGCGGCUCUCUGGUCUGUAACUGACGCUGAGGUUCGAAAGCGUGGGUAGCAAACAGGAUUAGAUACCCGAGUAGUC
rnacentral:rRNA from 1 species